rnacentral:snRNA from 1 species
AGACAGCAGGGUAAUAUGGCUGUGACAUCUGUCACCCUAUAGAUUGCCAGGCUGAUCUUGCUGGCAUCCCCUUCCUCCCUCAGUGUUCCAUGUGCACAUCUCUACAAAUAGGAAUUAAGGUAGAAGACUAACCUUCCCUACUGAGGGAAGCUUCCAGAAUCUCCUGAUAAGGUCUCAAGGUCCAUAAAUAGGAAAACAUAGGGUAACAAAACUCUAACACAUCUAAAUGAGGCACUGCAUGGGGGAGCCAACCUUU